GAAAUCAGAAUGGUUGGAAAUCAUUCAUAGAGUGUAAAGGCAUAAGGGAGCUUGACUGCGAGACCUACAAGUCGAGCAGGGUCGAAAGACGGACUUAGUGAUCCGGUGGUUCCGCAUGGAAGGGCCAUCGCUCAACGGAUAAAAGCUACCCCGGGGAUAACAGGCUUAUCUCCCCCAAGAGUUCACAUCGACGGGGAGGUUUGGCACCUCGAUGUCGGCUCAUCGCAUCCUGGGGCUGUAGUCGGUCCCAAGGGUUGGG
rnacentral:rRNA from 1 species